rnacentral:tRNA from 1 species
GGGUAUAUGGCUCAGUGGUGGAGCGCAUGCUUAGCAUGCAUGAGGUCCUGGGUUCAAUCCCCAGUACCUCCA